rnacentral:misc_RNA from 1 species
AAACUACGUUAAGCGGUGUGAAUUGCAGAACACGCAGAACACUGGAUCUUUGAACGCACAUGGCAGGUUAGUGUUACAACUAGCCUUUGUCUGUGUGAGGGUUGUAGACAGAGAAUGAAGGCUACUUUUAGAAGAGCGGGGAGGUUGCCUGUUGAAUGUGUGACAUGCCCGUUGAUCGGAGUAGAGACACACUUGUGUUGCGCCUCUGGCUGGUGUCGGAGGUAAACGGUAACUGAACGAGUGAUGGGAUUGAGGAGUUUUCUGGAGUUGAUGUGAUCUGAAACAAUCAGUAGUUCCAUAUCCUGAGCUUCUUUCUUACAACCUCACAUCAGGCAAGAUUACCCGCUUAAUUUAA